rnacentral:hammerhead_ribozyme from 1 species
AUCCACCUGACGAGUCCCAAAUAGGACGAAACGCGCAUUCUGGAU